GAUGAACGCUGGCGGCGUGCCUAAUACAUGCAAGUCGAGCGAACGGACGAGAAGCUUGUGUCGCUGAUGUUAGCGGCGGACGGGAGAGUAACACGUGUAUAACCUACCUAUAAGACUGGGAUAACUUCGGGAAACCGGAGCUAAUACCGGAUAAUAUUUUGAACCGUAGGGUUCAAAAGUGAAAGACGGUCUUUCUGUCAGUAAUAGAUGGAUCCGCGCUGCAUUGGCUAGUUGGUAAGGUAACGGCUUACCAAGGCAACUAUGCAUAGCCGACCUGUGAGGGUGGUCGGCCACCCUAGAACUGGACCGCCGACCAGACUCCUACGAGAGGCAGCAGAAGGGAAUCGUCCGCAAUGGGCGAAAACCUGACGGAGCAGCGCCGCGUGUGAGAUGGAGAUCUUCGGAUCGUGAAACUCUGUUAUGAGGGAAGAACAUAUGUGUAAGUAACUGAGCACUUCUUGACGGUACCUGAUCAAAAAGCCCCGGCUAACUACGUG
rnacentral:rRNA from 1 species